GACGAACGCUGGCGGCGUGCUUAACACAUGCAAGUCGAACGGAAAGGCCCUGCUUUUGUGGGUUGCUCGAGUGGCGAACGGGUGAGUAACACGUGAGUAACCUCCCCCUGACUGUGGGAUAACUUCAGGAAACUGGGUCUCAUACCGGAUAGGAGCUCCUGCUGCAUGGGGGGGGUUGGAAAGGUGCGGCGGUUGGGGAUGGACUCGCGGCUUAUCAGCUUGUUGGUGGGGUUGUGGCUGACCAAGGCUUUGACGGGUAGCCGGCAUGCGAGGGGGACCGGGCACAUUGGGACUGAGAUACGGCCCAGACUCCUACGGGAGGCAGCAGUGGGGAAUAUUGCACAAUGGGCGCAAGCCUGAUGCAGCAACGCUGGGUGCGGGAUGCCGGCCUUCGGGUGGUAAACCGAUGUCGCCUGUGACGAAGCGUGAGUGACGGUAAUGGGUAAAGAAGCACCGGCUAACUACGUG
rnacentral:rRNA from 1 species